rnacentral:rRNA from 1 species
UACGUAGGGUGCGAGCGUUAAUCGGAAUUACUGGGCGUAAAGCGUGCGCAGACGGUUUUGUAAGCCAGAUGUGAAAUCCCCGGGCUUAACCUGGGAAUGGCAUUUGGGACUGCAAGGCUUGAGUUUGGCAGAGGAGACUGGAAUUCCUGGUGUAGCAGUGAAAUGCGUAGAUAUCAGGAGGAAUACCGAUGGCGAAGGCAGGUCUCUGGGCAUUACCUGACGCUGAGGAGCGAAAGUGUGGGGAGCGAACAGG